UACGUAGGGUGCAAGCGUUAAUCGGAAUUACUGGGCGUAAAGCGUGCGCAGGCGGUUUUGUAAGUCUGUCGUGAAAUCCCCGGGCUCAACCUGGGAAUGGCGAUGGAGACUGCAAGGCUAGAGUAUGGCAGAGGGAGGUGGAAUUCCACGUGUAGCGGUGAAAUGCGUAGAGAUGUGGAGGAACACCGAUGGCGAAGGCAGCCUCCUGGGCCAAUACUGACGCUCAUGCACGAAAGCGUGGGGAGCAAACAGG
rnacentral:rRNA from 1 species